rnacentral:snoRNA from 1 species
AUCAUUGAUGACGGUGAGAUGUCAUCUCAUAUACUUAACGGUCUUGAUUUUGAGUACAGCCCCUUUGUUUCCUCCAUGCUUGGCCGUGCAGAUCCUCCUCCUCUCUCCGAGCUUUACUCUCACUUGAUGUCUUAUGAGA